CCUACGGGUGGCAGCAGUGAGGAAUAUUGGUCAAUGGACGAGAGUCUGAACCAGCCAAGUAGCGUGAAGGAUGACGGCCCUACGGGUUGUAAACUUCUUUUGUAAAGGAAUAAACGGAGGCACGUGUGCCUUUUUGUAUGUACUUUAUGAAUAAGGAUCGGCUAACUCCGUGCCAGCAGCCGCGGUAAUACGGAGGAUCCGAGCGUUAUCCGGAUUUAUUGGGUUUAAAGGGAGCGUAGAUGGGUUGAUAAGUUAGGUGUGAAAUUUUGCGGCUCAACCGUAAAAUUGCAAUUGAUACUGGCAGUCUUGAGUACAGUUGAGGUAGGCGGAAUGCGUGGUGUAGCGGUGAAAUGCUUAGAUAUCACGAAGAACUCCGAUUGCGAAGGCAGCCUACUAAACUGCCACUGACAUUGAUGCACGAAAGUGUGGGUAUCAAACAGGAUUAGAUACCCCAGUAGUC
rnacentral:rRNA from 1 species